GGAGAGAGGGCGAUCUGGCUGUGAUGACAUCAGUUACACCAUUAAUCCCCAGGGUCGAUUCAGCUGAUCUGGCUGGCUAGGUGAGUGCCCCCUUCCUCCCUCACUGCUCCAUGUGUGUGCACUCUGUUGAAGAGGACGACCUUCUCUGAUAGAGGAAAAAUAAAAGGGGAGAGAGGGGAAGAAAGAGAAAAGAGGGG
rnacentral:snRNA from 1 species